UAAAAACCAGGUGAUGACUGACAGCUGAGACUGAGUUGUGAUUGGUCAAGCACGUUUAUCAGCGGAACCUCAGCACCAUGGCUCCGUCAAUGACUCUGUCGGCAGCUCCCGUAUCUGUGACAGUUGGUCCAUCUUUAUAUACCGUCUCUAGUAACAUUCUUCAACAUUACACAUAGUCAUUUCAUCUGUUGUUAACAGCUCCAGGUUUAAGGUCCACAGUGUUUUGUGUCAGUAUCAGUGUUUAUUCACAAAUGCAGUAUCUGAUUGUUUGUGUUGCAGUGUGAGUGAAUCCCUUCCUGAUGCCGUGCUGCUGAUGUGGACUGUAUCAAAUCCAGCAGCCAGAGGCCAGCACCAGCUCCAUUGCUGUCUCCGCUAUAUUCCCUCGCCAGCUCUGUUGCUAUGUGCCUAAACCUGCCUGAGCCCAUUAAUAAGAGACCCACAAUCAUCUACAAACCCAACAUCUCUUUGAAAGCACGCUGUACUCCAGCUCUCUCAUCAGCAAAACCGUGAGGUAAGCAGCCGUCGCUCCUGACCACCAACCGUGACUCAUUCCCAACGUUUGCCUGUCCGUGAGCUCCGAGAGCGGCUGUCCUUCCACCGUAAACAGCAUUUAGAUGUUAUGACAGGGACACGAUUACCACCUCUGUUUGUGUUGAACUGACAGGGAGGAAAUUCAUCGGAGGUGAAUCCUAAGAAACUCUAACCAAUGUUUUUUGUAACCACUCCGUGUGAUUUAAAGACCAGACCAAAACCUUGUCCCUAGUUCAACAAAGUGUCAUCUGAAAAACUCUUCUCUUCUUUUCCCUCCUGCUCUCUCUGAUACACCACAG
rnacentral:lncRNA from 1 species